rnacentral:telomerase_RNA from 1 species
GUGUCAGAAAGAUAUAAAUGCCAUGUUAUUUGCAAUUUCAACGUUAACAUGUUAGAGGCUAUGAAAUGUAAAUUCAUAACAAAACUAACAAAACUCACUAAUUAAAGGUGUUACUUGUCCGUUGGUUCAUCUACAACAAAAAUGUAACGGAAAGCUCAUGGCUAUUUUUU